UGGCGGACGGCUGAGUAACGCGUAGGCAACCUGCCCAGUGGUGGGGGAUAACUCGCCGAAAGGUGAGCUAAUACCGCAUAAGUUUUCCGUUUGAAAUGGCGGUAAGGAAAGCAGCAAUGCGCCACUGGAGGGGCCUGCGUCCUAUCAGGUAGUUGGUGGGGUAACGGCCUACCAAGCCGAUGACGGGUAGCUGGUCUGAGAGGACGACCAGCCAGAAGGGGACUGAGACACGGCCCCU
rnacentral:rRNA from 1 species